rnacentral:rRNA from 1 species
CGGCUCAGUAACACGUAGUCAACCUGCCCUGGAGACGCGAAUAACCCCGGGAAACUGGGAUUAAUGCGUGAUAGGUCACCUCAUCUGGAAAGAGAGAUGGCUUAAAGGGGUACGCGGGCUUCUUCCGCGGAUCUGCUCCAGGAUGGGACUGCGUCCGAUCAGGCUGUUGGCGGGGUAAUGGCCCACCAAACCUGUAACCGGUACGGGCCUUGAGAGAGGUGGCCCGGAGAUGGACACUGAGAGAAGGGUCCAGGUCCUACGGGGCGCAGCAGGCGCGAAACCUUCGCAAUGCGCGAAAGCGUGACGAGGUUAAUCCGAGUGGUUCCCGCUGAGGGAAUCUUUUGUCAGCUAUAAAUAGGCGGGCGAAUAAGGGGAGGGCAAGCCUGGUGUCAGCCGCCGCGGUAAUACCAGCUCCUCGAGUGGUCGGGGCGAUUAUUGGGCCUAAAGCAUCCGUAGCCGGUUCCGUAGGUCUUCUGUUAAAUCCAACCGCUUAACCGUUGACCUGCAGAAGAUACCGCGGGACUAGGAGGCGGGAGAGGCGGACGGUACUCCGCGUGUAGGGGUAAAAUCCUUUGAUCCGCGGAAGACCACCAGUGGCGAAGGCGGUCCGCCAGAACGCGCUCGACGGUGAGGGAUGAAAGCUGGGGGAGCGAACCGGAUUAGAUACCCGGGUAGUCCCAGCCGUAAACGAUGCUAGCUAGAUGAUUCAUUCGCAAGUCGCGAAUGAAGUGUCUCAGGGAAGCCGUUAAGCUAGCCGCCUGGGGAGUACGGUCGCAAGACUGAAACUUAAAGGAAUUGGCGGGACUCCUUAC